ACGUAGGGUCCAAGCGUUAAUCGGAAUUACUGGGCGUAAAGCGUGCGCAGGCGGUUUUAUAAGUCCGAUGUGAAAUCCCCCGGCUUAACCUGGGAACUGCAUUGGAGACUGUACGGCUAGAGUGUGGCAGAGGGGGGUGGAAUUCCACGUGUAGCAGUGAAAUGCGUAGAGAUGUGGAGGAACACCGAUGGCGAAGGCAGCCAACUGGGACAAAACUGACGCUCAUGCACGAAAGCGUGGGGAGCAAACAG
rnacentral:rRNA from 1 species